ACCGGAGCUAAUACAGGAUAAUAUAUUGAACCGCAUGGUUCAAUAGUGAAAGACGGUUUUGCUGUCACUUAUAGAUGGAUCCGCGCCGCAUUAGCUAGUUGGUAAGGUAACAGCUUACCAAGGCAACGAUGCGUAGCCGACCUGAGAGGGUGAUCGGCCACACUGGAACUGAGACACGGUCCAG
rnacentral:rRNA from 1 species